AACUGAGGCUAAUACCGGAUAGGCAAUUUUUCCUGUAAUGGUUUUUUGUUUAAAUGUUUUUUCGCCUAAGGAUGGGUCUGCGGCCGAUUAGGUAGUUGGUUAGGUAAUGGCUUACCAAGCCGUUGAUCGGUACGGGUUGUGAGAGCAAGAGCCCGGAGAUGGAACCUGAGACAAGGUUCCAGGCCCUACGGGGUGCAGCAGGCGCGAAACCUCCGCAAUGUGAGAAAUCGCGACGGGGGGAUCCCAAGUGCCAUUCUUAACGGGAUGGCUUUUCA
rnacentral:rRNA from 1 species